UUACUUAAAAUCACCUUCUCUCCGAUGUCGGUCUCGUUAAUCAUAAACACUUUUCAACGAGAAUCUCUGAUUUUGUAAACCCUAAUUCUCUCCGCCGAUUCAAUCUCGCCACAUUUGUCCCGUGAAGAAUGGUGGAGAAUUCAGUAAAACCAUCCUCAAAAGCCACAUUGGCAUCUUCUAGACCAAUGGCUA